rnacentral:lncRNA from 1 species
GGAUGGGGUUGGGUUGAGGGUUUAGACACUACAACUUUGGAGGUGCUGGCUAAAUAUUUGGUCCAACUAGAGGUGGAAGAAGAAGCGGUGUGGGGUGGGAUGGAUGUGGACUUGGAUGCAAAUGAAUGCAAAUCACUGUGCAAUGAUAUGCAGAUGUGCGUCCUGGAUUUGCGGGGAGGAGUCCCAUGACUUCAGAAUCUGGCUUCUGGUGGGUUCUGCCAUCUGAGGGGCUCCGUGCCCGUGGAGAUCUUGCAUGGCAGGGCCAGCAGUGGACCCCUGUGUCGCUCUCCAACAUCAGUGGGAACCAUCUGGGGAGCUGCAGUCACCCACCGGGGCAGCCUGGCUGGUGAGGGAUGUGUAAUGACAGAGGCCUGCCCUGGGGAAAGGCUGGAAGUGUGGCCAGAGCUGAGGACCUCUGGGACCUGGGGACACAGCUCUGGGAGAGCACAGAGGGCUGGACAGGAAGGAAAGACUAACUUGGUGUCAUUUCCAGGUUUUCCGACUCUGUCUCAGCUCUCUGCUGUGACCACGACCGGGAGCCCCUGGCUGCCUGCCACCUGCUACUGACACUCCCAGCCCGAGGCUGGACUGCCCACCAACCCUCAGCCCAUACCCCAAGUGGGUUGGCGGGCCAGGGCAACUGGGGCAUCUAGGGGCUUCCCAACACUGAUGGGCGCCCUCCUCGGCCAGGCACUGUGACUGUGACUGUGACUAUCACAGUCAAGGGAGCUGAGACCUAAAGAGGCUGUGAGUUACACACAGUGGGUCAGGGAAGAACCGGGUCAGAACCCAUGUCUCCAGCGUGGGGCCGGGUGGAGUCCCACAUGGCAACGUGACCCCAGAGGGCCACCUCCUUCAGAUUCCUUGACAGCAAAACCUACAUCUAAGAGGAUUUGGAUCAAAUCUCCAAACUCCAAACACGCAGUUGAGACGAACCAAGCUGGAGGAAGCCUUGUAUACAGCCACUUCUCAUGGUCCCCACCCCCCCAGACAUCUGCAAGGACCUGGCAACACCUCCCACCCCACCCCCAAAAUAUCCCUCUUCUGCCUGUCUGCCCCAUGAACUGGGAUUCAACCAUGAGAUCCGUCCCCAGGAUGAGGGAUUACCCUCCCUCCCGAAUACUGAACUCUGAGAGUUUUUCAAAGGCUUCCCAGCGUGUCCACCCCCAGGGCCCUGGGACCUGGCCAGGCAGAGCCCGAAAGAAGGAAACGGGAUACAGAUCGAGGAAGUGGCUUUGAGAAGGUGGAGCACACAGGCAGACUUUGCUGACGGAAGAGUUUUGCCGCUGGUCGACCAGGCCCGCCUGUCAUCAGGAUAAAAAUUAUUUUCUAGUUGUCAAAAAAAUAUUUCCAAGGGGGCUGUUGUGUUGCAGUAAGGCAGGCAGAGAAGGAAAGCAAUGUUUACUCCUCCCUUGUUGCCUGUCGGGCACCUUGUAUGUAUACUUGCUGGCCCACUGUGUCUCAGAAACUGUCUUUCCGAAGAAACCGAGGCCUGGGAGGUUGCCCUGCCCGCCCCCCACCCACCCCCACUCUCAGUGGGUAAGUGACAGAGCUAAGAUCCCAGGUCUGCCAGACACAAAACCCCUACUUUCAAGGCCCCGCCCUGCCAGCGGCUGUGGGGAAAGAGCUGGACACCAUCUGGGAAGAAUCGGAGAAGAUUUCUAGAAAAGGCCUCAUGUGGAAAUGAAAAAAAAAAAAGCUUCAUUAGCGCCUUUUAAUCAAUAAAGCAGAAACGUAACCUUCCUCCUUGCA